GGCGCCGUGGCUUAGUGGCUAAAGCGCCUGUCUCGUAAACAAGAGAUCCUGGGUUCAAAUCCCAGCGGUGCCG
rnacentral:tRNA from 1 species